rnacentral:rRNA from 1 species
UACAGAGGUCCCAAGCGUUGUUCGGAUUUACUGGGCGUAAAGGGUGCGUAGGUGGUUAGGUAAGUCUGAUGUGAAAUCUCCGGGCUCAACCCGGAAAUGGCAUUGGAUACUAUUUGACUAGAGGGUUGGAGGGGGGACUGGAAUACUUGGUGUAGCAGUGAAAUGCGUAGAUAUCAAGUGGAACACCAGUGGCGAAGGCGAGUCCCUGGACAACUACUGACACUGAGGCACGAAAGCUAGGGGAGCAAACAGG